UUGAUCCUGGCUCAGGAUGAACGCUAGCGGCAGGCCUAAUACAUGCAAGACGAACGGUAAGUUGAGUAGCAAUACUUAGCCAAGAGUGUCGUACGGGUGCGUAACACGUAUGCAACCUACCCUAUACAGGAGAUAGCCUAGGGAAACCUGGAUUAACCCUUCAUAGUAUUAUUGGAUGGCAUCAUUUGAUAAUUAAAACUGAGGUGGUAUAGGAUGGGCAUGCGUCUGAUUAGUUAGUUGGCGGGGUAAUGGCCCACCAAGACAAUGAUCAGUAGGGGUUCUGAGAGGAAGAUCCCCCACACUGGCACUGAGAUACGGGCCAGACUCCUACGGGAGGCAGCAGUAGGGAAUAUUGGUCAAUGGAUGCAAGUCUGAACCAGCCAUGCCGCGUGCAGGAAGAAGGCCUUCUGGGUUGUAAACUGCUUUUGCCAGGGGGAUAAAAUUUCCAUGCGUGGAAAACUGAAGGUACCUGGUGAAUAAGCCACGGCUAACUACGUG
rnacentral:rRNA from 1 species